ACUCCUACGGGAGGCAGCAUUGGGGAAUAUUGCACAAGGGGCGAAAGCCUGAUGCACCGACCCCGCGUGAGGAAUGACGGCCUUCGGGUUGUAAACCUCUUUCACCAGGAAAAAAGCAAAAGUGACGGUACCUGCAAAAAAAGCGCCGGCUACCUACUUGCCACCACCCGCGGUAUUACUUAGGCCGCAGCGUUGUCCGGAUUUAUUGGGCGUAAGAGCUCGUAGGCGGCUUGUCACGUCGGUUGUGAAGCCCGGGCUUACCCCCGGUCUGCAGUCAUACGGCAGGCUAGAGUUCGUUAGGGAAGAUCGAUUCCUGUUGUAGCGUUGAAUGCGCAAUAUCAGGAGGACCACCGUUGCCGAGGCGGAUCUCUGGGCCGAUACUGACGCUGAGAGCGA
rnacentral:rRNA from 1 species